rnacentral:rRNA from 1 species
GAUGAACGCUAGCGAUAGGCUUAACACAUGCAAGUCGAGGGGCAGCAUGGUCUUAGCUUGCUAAGACUGAUGGCGACCGGCGCACGGGUGCGUAACGCGUAUGCAACUUGCCUCACAGAGGGGGAUAACCCGUCGAAAGACGGACUAAUACCGCGUACACUUGGGAUAGGGCAUCCUGACCCAAGGAAAUGAAAUUCGCUGUGAGAUAGGCAUGCGUCCCAUUAGCUAGUUGGUGAGGUAACGGCUCACCAAGGCGACGAUGGGUAGGGGAACUGAGAGGUUGAACCCCCACACUGGUACUGAGACACGGACCAGACUCCUACGGGAGGCAGCAGUGAGGAAUAUUGGUCAAUGGGCGAGAGCCUGAACCAGCCAAGUCGCGUGAAGGAUGACUGUCUUAUGGAUUGUAAACUUCUUUUAUACGGGAAUAACAAGAGCCACGUGUGGCUCCCUGCAUGUACCGUAUGAAUAAGCAUCGGCUAACUCCG